GAUGAACGCUAGCGGCAGGCUUAACACAUGCAAGUCGAGGGGUAUAGGUUUUCGGACCUAGAGACCGGCGCACGGGUGCGUAACGCGUAUGCAAUCUACCUUCCACAGAGGGAUAGCCCAGAGAAAUUUGGAUUAAUACCUCAUAGUAUAGCAGUUUCGCAUGAAACCACUAUUAAAGUAUCAACGGUGAAAGAUGAGCAUGCGUCCCAUUAGCUAGAUGGUAAGGUAACGGCUUACCAUGGCUACGAUGGGUAGGGGUCCUGAGAGGGAGAGCCCCCACAAUGGUACUGAGACACGGACCAGACUCCUACGGGAGGCAGCAGUGAGGAAUAUUGGUCAAUGGACGCAAGUCUGAACCAGCCAUGCCGCGUGCAGGAUGACGGUCCUAUGGAUUGUAAACUGCUUUUGUACGAGAAGAAACAACAUUACGUGUAAUGUCUUGACGGUAUCGUAAGAAUAAGGAUCGGCUAACUCCGUGCCAGCAGCCGCCGUAACAC
rnacentral:rRNA from 1 species